GACGAACGCUGGCGGCGUGCUUAACACAUGCAAGUCGAACGGUGAAGGGGCCUGCUUUUGUGGGCCCUGGAUGAGUGGCGAACGGGUGAGUAACACGUGAGUAACCUGCCCCCUUCUUCUGGAUAACCGCAUGAAAGUGUGGCUAAUACGGGAUAUUCUGGGUCUGUCGCAUGAUGGGUCUGGGAAAGAUUGCGCCUUUGGGUGUUUCUGGUGGGGGAUGGGCUCGCGGCCUAUCAGCUUGUUGGUGGGGUGAUGGCCUACCAAGGCGGUGACGGGUAGCCGGCCUGAGAGGGUGGACGGUCACACUGGGACUGAGACACGGCCCAGACUCCUACGGGAGGCAGCAGUGGGGAAUAUUGCACAAUGGGCGCAAGCCUGAUGCAGCGACGCCGCGUGAGGGAUGGAGGCCUUCGGGUUGUAAACCUCUUUCGCCAGUGAAGCAGGCCUGCUCCGUGUGGGUGGGUUGACGGUAGCUGGAUAAGAAGCGCCGGCUAACUACGUG
rnacentral:rRNA from 1 species